UACAGAGGGUGCAAGCGUUAAUCGGAUUUACUGGGCGUAAAGGGCGCGUAGGUGGUUAUGUAAGUGAGAUGUGAAAGCCCCGGGCUCAACCUGGGAACUGCAUCUUAUACUGCAUAGCUGGAGUACAAUAGAGGGUAGUGGAAUUUCCGGUGUAGCGGUGAAAUGCGUAGAUAUCGGAAGGAACACCAGUGGCGAAGGCGGCUACCUGGAUUGAUACUGACACUGAGGCGCGAGAGCGUGGGGAGCAAACAGG
rnacentral:rRNA from 1 species